UUUUCUCAUAAACAGAAACACUACCUUUCCUCUUCGAUAAUGAUCUUCUUCCUGAACUCUCUCUCUUUUCUACACAGUUGAAUCUUCAUCUACGUUUCAGGCAAUUUCAAAACAUAAGAAGAUGAAGAUUUAGAUCAAUUUUUCUCCCCUUCUACGAUUACGUAUGCCAAUUUCCGUUUGAUUUGUGUUAUCUGAAAUUCUAGCAAGCAAAACCAAAACACGCCAACCAAUCUUGGUGUAUGCAUGUUUUUUUCGUCGUCGUAUCUUUCGUUGGUGAACGCACUUAUGAUAAUCCCGUACUUUUGAUCCGGGUCGUUGGAUUGUAUCCUUCUCCGUCUAAAGCGGCAGAAUCGAAUUCUCCUCCACUGUUUUUCCUCUCUUCUCUUCUCUUCUCUUCUCAGGUGUGCAUAACCAAAUCCCCUCCUAACUGAAAUCUAUAUCUAGAGACUACAAUCCAACGAAAAACACCGAAAGAAAGAGUGAAUGGAAAUUGAAGAGGUGACGAACCCUAAAUUCCCAAUUUUUACUUACCAAGACAAUACGAACAUUCAAAAUUAAUCACGGCCAAAGCCAGUAGGGGUUUAAUUCGUAAGAGAAGCAAGAAAGUGUGAGAUUUCAGCAUCAUCAUCAUGUCUUAGGGGUAAUACCAGCGUUUCAACAACUAAUAAGUGCGGCUAGAGGUUCAACUGAUUCUUUUUCGGUGUUAGAAGAGAUGUGUGUAGCACUUUAAGAAGGUUUGGAGCAGGUGUGGGAUGCGGCUUUGGGGCUGGUACAAUAGGUUGCAAGUGAGGCUGUCAUGGAACUAUGGAAGAGCAAAGGUGGAUAAAUAACCAUUUUAACUCUUUGCGUGUUUGUUACUUGGGGAUUUCAGUUUUAAAAUGUUAGUGGCGAUUGGAUUUAUAAAUAGUGGCGAGAUGAAGAAGCUCUCCUUCCUGUUUGUAAUGAGAAUUAAUAAUAUGAAGGGAAUGGAAGCUGAGUACCUAUAUGUGGAAUCUUGAUUGAUCAUAGAAUGAUGGCAGACAAACUUUGCAGUAGUUUGUUAGCAGUUUUAUUGCUGUAAGAAGAUCUUUUUUUUUUUGAUAAGAAGACUUUUAUUUAUUUAUAAA